UUUUAAUGAUGACUCAAAAAACUUGGUCUGUGUUACUGAAAUAAAAUUAAGAUGACAAGGAAUAUAACUGAAAAA